GCCGCGUGUGUGAAGAAGGCCUUCGGGUUGUAAAGCACUUUCAGUCGUGAGGAAGGUGGUGUAGUUAAUAGCUGCAUUAUUUGACGUUAGCGACAGAAGAAGCACCGGCUAACUCCGUGCCAGCAGCCGCGGUAAUACGGAGGGUGCGAGCGUUAAUCGGAAUUACUGGGCGUAAAGCGCAUGCAGGUGGUUUGUUAAGUCAGAUGUGAAAGCCCGGGGCUCAACCUCGGAAUAGCAUUUGAAACUGGCAGACUAGAGUACUGUAGAGGGGGGUAGAAUUUCAGGUGUAGCGGUGAAAUGCGUAGAGAUCUGAAGGAAUACCGGUGGCGAAGGCGGCCCCCUGGACAGAUACUGACACUCAGAUGCGAAAGCGUGGGGAGCAAACAGGAUUAGAUACCCCGGUAGUC
rnacentral:rRNA from 1 species